rnacentral:ncRNA from 1 species
UGGAAUAAUGGUGGGUACGAUGAAUUGGAAUAAUGGUGGGUACGAUGCAUUGAAAUAAUGGUGGGUACAAUGCAUUGGAAUAUUGGUGAGUGGAGAAAUGUCAUAUAUUGUAACAAUAUUUUAAAUGAUCAUGUGUGUAUUAGUUUUGCAUCAUGUAGCCAAAUAGACAAAAUCCAUACAAUUGGUCGAAUCCGUUGGUUUUGCUCCAUAAUAUAUGUUGUGUGGUGAGAGUAGUUUAGUUGGUGAUUAUAAAAACAUUUUUUAUUAUUGUUGAUUUGUUUAAAAGUUCUUUUAAAAGUUGACGAUUUUGGAUUCAUGUUUUCAGAUGAACUGACAACGUUGUUUUAUUGUCCGGGAGAGUAGAGGCUCUCCUCCCGUACUCAGGUCGCGGGGCCCGGGAAGCCGGUCGAGCAGCCUGGAGUCGCGGUCCGGGACCGUCCUCAGUACCUGGGUCCUCUCGGCGCGGUUCCGAGCGGUCGAUCCCUCCAGAGGUGCCGCGGCUCAGCGGCAGACGCCAGCCACCUUCCCGACCCGUCUGGAAACACGGCCCAAGGAGUCUAACAUGUGCGCGAGCCGCGGGGCAGUACGAAACCCGUAAGGCGAAAUGAAGGUGACCGCCGGCGCGGUCCGGCGGAGGUUGGAUCCCGUCCCGUCGGGGCGGGCGCACUACCGGCCGAUCUUCUCCGCCCUGUCGGCGAGGUCGAGCGAGAGCGUGCAAGUCGGGACCCGAAAGAUGGUGAACUAUGCCUGAGGAGGUUGAAGCCAGAGGAAACUAUGGUGGAGGCCCGUAGCGAUU